UGGGGAAUAUUGCACAAUGGGCGCAAGCCUGAUGCAGCGACGCCGCGUGGGGGAUGACGGCCUUCGGGUUGUAAACUCCUUUCGCUAGGGACGAAGCUUUUUGUGACGGUACCUAGAUAAGAAGCACCGGCUAACUACGUGCCAGCAGCCGCGGUAAUACGUAGGGUGCGAGCGUUGUCCGGAAUUACUGGGCGUAAAGAGCUCGUAGGCGGUUUGUCACGUCGUCUGUGAAAUCCUAGGGCUUAACCCUGGACGUGCAGGCGAUACGGGCUGACUUGAGUACUACAGGGGAGACUGGAAUUUCUGGUGUAGCGGUGGAAUGCACAGAUAUCAGGAAGAACACCGAUGGCGAAGGCAGGUCUCUGGGUAGUAACUGACGCUGAGGAGCGAAAGCAUGGGUAGCGAACAGG
rnacentral:rRNA from 1 species